UACGUAGGGGGCGAGCGUUGUCCGGAUUUAUUGGGCGUAAAGAGCGUGUAGGCGGUUCGGUAAGUCUGUCGUGAAAUCCUGAGGCUCAACCUCGGGCGUGCGAUGGAUACUGCCGGGCUAGAGGGUGGUAGAGGCGAGUGGAAUUCCCGGUGUAGCGGUGAAAUGCGCAGAUAUCGGGAGGAACACCAGUGGCGAAGGCGGUGCUCUGGGCUGGAACUGACGCUGAUGGACGAAGGUCAGGGGAGCAAACGGG
rnacentral:rRNA from 1 species